CCGAACCCGGAAGCUAAGACUCUCUGCGCCGAUGGUACUGCAAGGGGGACCUUGUGGGAGAGUAGGACACCGCCGGAC
rnacentral:rRNA from 1 species